ACACUUAACCAAAGUCAUGUACUAAUGAACAAUGAAGUGACAGUCUAAAUAGCAGACAUCAUUAAAAGAAGUUACUGGUACACGGUGAAUGAAAAAUAAUAAACAGUGACAGCUCUAACAAACGUUCAUUUGAUGCCUCUUAAGUAUUCUUCUAAGGCUAUUAUCAUGUGUCAGGUACUGUAUUAGGUGCUGUGAAUACAAGAAGGAAGCACAUGUCUUUUCCCUCAUGAAGCUUAUAUUCUUCCAGAGAAAUGCCACAUUCUGUUUUUUAAGUUUGGCAUCCGUGUUUUAAUGAAGUAUUUGAGAUGCGGUGUGAAGAGGAAUUGGGAGGUUGCUGGCUGUAUCUAUUCCUGGAAAUUAUGCAGUUGAUUACUAUUAUUUUGAAAAAAUCACCUUUAGUCCCACAAAUGUAAGAAGAAACCCAGAAAAUCACCACCAAGCAGAAUCACAAAGUACAGUCAGUGGAAAAAGUUGCAAGUCUCACGAAAGAUGUGCCGUCUUUAUAUGUAAGAUCUUUCUUAGAACUAGAACUUAUAAGAAGUCAAGCUGAAUGUUCCAAAAACAAUGUUAAGAUUAAAAAAAAAAAAACAAGCAAAACCUAUGUCAAAUACAGGCUAGAUAUUCACAGACAUUGUGGACUGUUGGGAGUGGCUUCUGCCUCUGGAGCGUGGUUAAAGUAGAUCGCCUUUGAGAUUCCUUCCUAGCCUGAAGGAACCUAAUGAUCUCAAACCAGAGAUGGAGCUAAAGAAAACUAACAGGCCUUGUUAAUUACUGAGGAAAUAGUCUAUAAUUCAACUAAAGCUCCUACUUGAUGCAUUUACAUACUGUGAAGUUCCGAAGAGAGUUCCCCUCUAUGUAAAGUUUUGCUAAAGAGGACGAGCUAAGUGAGAGAUUUACUGGAAACAGGAUUGACGGACGAAGGAACAUCCUCUUGAUUUGAAGGAGGCAAAUAUGGAGACUUCGUGACCAGGGAGGAAGAUAGUACAGUGAACCUGUUGGCAUUCUUAUGUUUCCUACCUGGAAUGGGAGUUGGUGUGAUAGGAAAUGUGGCUAUGAGCCCCAUGAGAAAAGGACACAUGCAGUUUAAGGAGAGAUGUUUUCUCCUUAAUUCCUGGUUCCCGAAAUAUGUUCAGGGCUCAUAAGUGAGGACUUAAGCCCUUGGGAGACACUUGGGGGCCCUUUUCUCUGCACCUUUUAGAAUUCAAAAACAGUAGUACAA